ACAUCACAGUUCUGCUCCAGGCGAUCAUCAGCACAAGCCAUCAGCCGGCCCUAGCAACCGUCACCAAGAUAAACAAACAGCAGAGGACGCCUGGAUCACAGCUCCUUCCCUUUUGGGGAUGGCCCUAAGGGAGACUUGGUUUGCCCCAGAGGGGAAAUGAUUGAAAGAAAUGGAGACACAAACCCUGGGCAGCCGAGUUCCCCUUUUAGUCAUCGACCUCCAGCGGCUUUGUGAAAGUAGGCAGACUGCGGGGACGUGGCUAGAAAAAAGUGCCAUGUCAGCCACUGGGAUGGCCAUGUGCUUGUGUCAGUGGGAAGAUGGCCUGUGGACACCCAGCUCCUUCCUCCUGCUGUGCUGCCUGCUCUUCCUCUGAAAUCAACAGAGAUUUCUGAGCUCCUUGAGACCAUAAACGACGCUGUGAACUCCUUCCUACCCACCAUCAGGAAAGCCGUCUACGGGAAUUUCUCAGAGGUGGGACUGCAAGAUCAGUAAUAUGGGCAUACCUAACCUGACUGCAUAUAGGCAGGUUGGCUGGGCUGGCUCACCUUCCCAUUAGCAAGCAGUAUAUGAGUAUUUCUGUUUUUGCAGUUUUUUUCAU
rnacentral:lncRNA from 1 species